rnacentral:rRNA from 1 species
GAUGAACGCUGGCGGCGUGCCUAAUACAUGCAAGUCGAGCGAACGGACGAGUAGCUUGCUUCUCUGAUGUUAGCGGCGGACGGGUGAGUAACACGUGGAUAACCUACCUAUAAGACUGGGAUAACUUCGGGAAACCGUAGCUAAUACCGGAUAAUAUUUUGAACCGCAUGGUUCAAAAGUGAAAGACGGUUUUGCUGUCACUUAUAGAUGGAUCCGCGCUGCAUUAGCUAGUUGGUAAGGUAACGGCUUACCAAGGCAACGAUGCAUAGCCGACCUGAGAGGGUGAUCGGCCACACUGGAACUGAGACACGGUCCAGACUCCUACGGGAGGCAGCAGUAGGGAAUCUUCCGCAAUGGGCGAAAGCCUGACGGAGCAACGCCGCGUGAGUGAUGAAGGUCUUCGGAUCGUAAAACGCUGUUAUUAGGGAAGAACAGAUGUGUAAGUAACUGUGCACAUCUUGACGGUACCGAAUCAGAAAGCCACGGCUAACUACGUG